AACGCACAUUGCGCCCGCCAGCACUCUGGCGGGCAUGCCUGCCCGAGCGUCAUUUCAACCCCUCAAGCACUGCUUGGUGUUGGGGACCGACCGCCCCCGGGCGCCGUCGGCCCUGAAACGAAGUGGCGGUCCCGCCGUGGAACCUCUGCGCAGUAGUAACGAACUCGCACCGGGGACCGGCGGCGGCCACGCCCAUCAAGACGAAGACCCCUUCAAGGUUGACCUCGGAUCAGGUAGGAAUACCCGCUGAACUUAA
rnacentral:misc_RNA from 1 species